rnacentral:rRNA from 1 species
CUGGCGGCGUGCCUAAUACAUGCAAGUCGAACGGCUUUUCUAUGGAAGCUUGCUUCCACUGAGAAGAUAGUGGCGAACGGGGUGAGUAACACGUGGGUAACCUGCCCAUAAGAGGGGGAUAACAUCCGGAAACGGGUGCUAAUACCGCAUAGUUUUCUUGAUCGCAUGAUCGGGAAAGGAAAGACGGCCUUUGUGCUGUCGCUUAUGGAUGGACCCGCGGCGUAUUAGUUAGUUGGUGAGGUAACGGCUCACCAAGACGAUGAUACGUAGCCGACCUGAGAGGGUGAUCGGCCACAUUGGGACUGAGACACGGCCCAAACUCCUACGGGAGGCAGCAGUAGGGAAUCUUCCGCAAUGGACGAAAGUCUGACGGAGCAACGCCGCGUGAGUGAAGAAAAGGUUUUCGGAUCGUAAAACUCUGUUGUCAGAGAAGAACAAGUUGGAGAGUAACUGCUCCAGCCUUGACGGUAUCUGACCAGAAAGCCACGGCUAACUACGUGCCAGCCGCUGC